GAUUGAACGCUGGCGGUAUGCUUAACACAUGCAAGUCGAACGGAAACGAAACUAGCUUGCUAGUAGGCGUCGAGUGGCGGACGGGUGAGUAACGCGUAGGAAUCUGCCUGAUAGUGGGGGAUAGCCCGAAGAAAUUCGGAUUAAUACCGCAUAAUCUAUUCGUAGUAAAGUGGGGGACUUUCGAGCCUCACGCUAUCAGAUGAGCCUGCGUAAGAUUAGCUUGUUGGUAGGGUAAAAGCCUACCAAGGCGACGAUCUUUAGCUGGUCUGAGAGGAUGAUCAGCCACAUCGGGACUGAGACACGGCCCGAACUCCUACGGGAGGCAGCAGUGGGGAAUAUUGGACAAUGGGGGCAACCCUGAUCCAGCAAUACCGCGUGUGUGAAGAAGGCCUGAGGGUUGUAAAGCACUUUCAAUUGUGAAGAAAAGCUAGUGGUUAAUAGCCAUUAGCCUUGACAUUAACUUUAGAAGAAGCACCGGCUAACUCCGUGCCAGCAGCCGCGGUAAUACGGAGGGUGCAAGCGUUAAUCGGAAUUACUGGGCGUAAAGCGUGCGUAGGCGGUUUAUUAAGUCAGAUGUGAAAGCCCCGGGCUUAACCUGGGAACUGCAUUUGAAACUGGUCAACUAGAGUAUGGUAGAGGAAAGUGGAAUUUCUGGUGUAGCGGUGAAAUGCGUAGAUAUCAGAAGGAACAUCAAUGGCGAAAGGCAACUUUCUGGACCAAUACUGACGCUGAGGUACGAAAGCGUGGGUAGCAAACAGGAUUAGAUACCCUGGUAGUCCACGCCGUAAACGAUGAUAACUAGCCGUUGGGGGGAUUUACCCCUUAGUGGCGAAGCUAACGCGUUAAGUUAUCCGCCUGGGGAGUACGGCCGCAAGGUUAAAACUCAAAGGAAUUGACGGGGACCCGCACAAGCGGUGGAGCAUGUGGUUUAAUUCGAUGCAACGCGAAGAACCUUACCUGGUCUUGACAUCCUGAGAACUUUCUAGAAAUAGAUUGGUGCCUUCGGGAACUCAGUGACAGGUGCUGCAUGGCUGUCGUCAGCUCGUGUCGUGAGAUGUUGGGUUAAGUCCCGUAACGAGCGCAACCCCUAUCCUUAUUUGCCAGCACAUCAUGGUGGGAACUAUAAGGAGACUGCCGGUGAUAAACCGGAGGAAGGCGGGGACGACGUCAAGUCAUCAUGGCCCUUACGACCAGGGCUACACACGUGCUACAAUGGGAAGGACAAAGAGCCGCGAAGCCGCGAGGUGUAGCUAAUCUCAGAAACCUUUUCGUAGUCCGGAUUGGAGUCUGCAACUCGACUCCAUGAAGUCGGAAUCGCUAGUAAUCGUAGAUCAGAAUGCUACGGUGAAUACGUUCCCGGGUCUUGUACACACCGC
rnacentral:rRNA from 1 species